rnacentral:tRNA from 1 species
AAUAUAAAGAUUAAAUAAAGCUGCUAACUUUAAUUUUAGUGGUUAAAUUCCAUUAAUAUUUCU